UGUUCUCUGCCCCUUUGUGAAGCACCUUCUUCCAAGCUGCAUUUGCCCCCAGAUUUAACUCUUCAAAAGUCGUGGGGCUCAGGGGGACGGAGAGACCAAGGUAUGAGGGCACAGAGAGACAAAAGACCGUGUUUGAGGGAGCCAAAUUCCACCAACAAAUCUCGGCAAAGCCCUUUUCAAAUCUGCAAUUAUUUUCAUGCAGCCGAAGCAGGUCGGGCUGUUGAGCUUUUUCGUGCCUGGAUCCUCUGCGCUCACACGCCCCCCACCUGUGCUCCUCGUGGAGCGGAGAAACCAGGAACGCAGUCGGUUAAAAGAAGGGCAUGGAUAACGUAAGAAAGGAGCUGGACCCCUGGGGGAAAACAAUGAGACGUUUUGAAAUCUCGGAGUCAGAAAAUCCAGGGGACUCGCCAAAGUUCACAAUCCUCACGAAGAGCAGGUCAGCAGCAAACACUGGCACGUCCCCCACGCGCAUGCACACACAGCCUGGGUCUCACUGAAGACAGCAGAUCAGGUACUGGCCAGAGGAAGCAGUGUAAAAAUGACGUUGCAGGCUUUGAGACAUUUAAACAGAAAACUGUAAUGCGACCCAGCUGAUCUGAAUCUCUCUACUCACAAAUAAUCUUCUGUGAUCACUUCAAACAGACUACUGACCUGCUUGCCUGAUCACUUCGUGGUUACUCAUUUCUGGCCAUUUCACCCUCAAGAUGGUGAGGUCCUAGCCUGAGGGGACCGUGUCUUCCCAGGGUCUAGCAUGGUGCCUGGCAUGUAAAUGCCCCAUGUGAAAUGCUAUCCAAUAAACUGAUCUGAUUCCGUUUCUCACCUACAAAAUGCACAUUUGUCCACCUAUCCAUCCAUUUGUUUAUGCACCGUUUACUGGACAACCCGCUAGGUUAAAUACUGUGGGAAACAUACAGAUGUGUCAUCUAGUAACUUAACUUCGAAUAACACUCCCUGCCUGCCUCCCAGAACUGUAAGGAAAAACAAAGAGACUGUGCCUAUAAAUGCGCUGUGGAAACUGCACAUGCUACCCAAGGUAAAGGGUGGGUUUUAUUCUUACUUAUGAUGUUUGCCAUGCUGAUGGCUGUCUCUCCUGGGCCUGCAAGGGUUUUUUUUUUUUCUCGCCAGUUACCCCAGUCUCCCUUCUCUGUAGCUCCCAGCAGACGUAUUAAGUGUAAUCUUGGAACUGUUCCAGGUUCUCUUUUCAAGACUUGACUGUUCAAUGUUUCCUGCACACAGCAAGCGGUUCUGGCCUGGCGUGACAUCAGGAAGUCUGAAGGAUUCACUCCCCAAGUGUCCUGGGGUCUGAGCCCUAGCCCUUUGUCAAGGUUUCACAGAGCUUGCCUGGCGAGCAGGACAAAGGCCCAUUACAGGCUGCCUCCGCAGCCCCACCAGCUGCCAUCCAAGAUUACCUGCUCUCUGACACCCUUGGGAGCACCAGCUGAUGAAGCCAAGUCCCGCCCACUGCCCCUGCUUGCUUCCGGGAACAGCCUGAGCUCUGCAGGAGGCAGGCGGGCCGAGGCUCUGGCUUGGUUGAUGGUGGAAUUGUGCUCUUGAGAGAAGUCCACAGGAAGUUGAGCAACCACCCACAAACUCAGCCCCCUGCAGCCUUACUGAGCUAUACCAUGAGAGCUGACCCCACCUGCACUGCGUGGGUGCUAAGACCUCACCUGGUUGUGCACUGAAAACUGCCUCCCUGUGACUGCUCAGGGCUAAUGCCUCUUCUCACUAUGGCAGCUGCACAAAUGGAAUCCAGAGCCUUCUCCAGACGCUGAAGGGGAAGGAAGGAGCUCCAAGGGAUCUUUGGGAGCACUUCCA